rnacentral:lncRNA from 1 species
ACAAAGGUCAACAAGACCAAAUAGAUCAAGACUACCUUAUGGCACUGUCACUGCAACAAGAACAGCAGAGCCAAGACAUCAACUGGGAGCAAAUCCCAGAAGGAAUCAGUGACUUGGAGUUGGCAAAGAAACUCCAGGAAGAGGAGGACCGACGGGCCUCUCAGUACUACCAGGAGCAGGAGCAGGCUCAGGCUGCUGUGGCCACCACCACCCCUUCCACGCAGGCCCAGCAGGGCCAGCCAGCGCAAGCCUCUCCAUCAAGUAUAAAACAGCCUGGGAAUAGUGAACGGAAACGCAAGGAACCUCGGGAAAAAGACAAAGAGAAAGAAAAGGAAAAAAA